ACUUUGUGUUUGGUCUCUUGAACUGGAGAAGAAAGGGCACACAUCUUACAAAAAAGAAGGAAGAGCACAAAAGCUCACACAUUUUGCAUGAGUCUGAGAUGGCACAGAAUGCAAUGAUGAAGAGCAUAGGCCCUGCUGUCAGAUUGAGGCCUGUCACUUGCUACCAUUAUGAUCUAAGACAUGUUACAUAAAAUCAAGGAGUUUCAACUUCUUCACCUAUGAAAUGGAUUCACACUCAUGGGAUUAGUUCGAAGAUUAUACAACGUAUCAGAAAUGUUUAGUGCAGCCUGGGACACAGACUGCUAAGCCUAAUGGAACACAGGACCUCUUUCAAAUUACAUAGCACAUAUCAAGUCAAUUUUGGGUUGUCCCAUCCAUUCAAAAGGACACUCAGGAGCUGCUCUGCAAUGAAAAAAGUGAACAAAUAACAUCUGAAACAGUUGUAAAAAUGAGCCUGUUGCUCAAGCCCAGAACAUGUCUAACUGGAACACAGAGGUAAGAGUUACACACAAACAACAACAGAUUAGCUUCUCAGUCCCCUUGGCAUCCUCUAAAUCAUCUUGCAUGACAUUCAUUAUACUUGUGUCACUUAUUCAUUCACUCAUUUAUUUAUUCAACAAAUAUUUACUAAGUCUUAAUAUGUGUCAGGCACCAUUCUCAAUGCUGAGGACAUAGCAACGAACAAAAGGGACCCAAAUCCCUGCCCCUGUGGUGUUUACAUGUGCAGGGAAGGUCAGGCAAAACAAGAAAAACAUGUCACGACAAACAAAAUAGUAGAGGACUUAUUCUAGAUUACAAGAAACUAAAGAGAUGUUACCAAGUACAAUGUGUAAACUUUGAUUCUAUCCUGGAUCAGAAAACAAACAGCUAAAUAUAUUUGAGAACAGUUGGGGAAAUUAUAAUUUGCACUGGAUGUCAGAUGAUGUUAUGGAAUUGUUUUUCUUUUCUUUUUUUUUUAGAGGUGGGGAGGGGCAGAGGGAGAUGGAGAGAGAAUCUUAAGCAGGCUCCACAUCCAGGUUGAUAUCAUGACCUGAGCCAAAAUCAAGAGUCAGACGCUUAACUGACUUGAGCCACCCAGGCGUCUCUGUCAUUCAUUUUCCUAAAUGUGAUAACAUCGGGGUUGUGCAGGAUACUAAGAGAUUGCCCUUACUCCUAGAAGUAUGUCAAGGUAAGGUGUCAGGGUUCCUGUAACUUAGUUUCAAAUGAUCAAUCUAUCAAUUAUCUAUCAUGCACAAACAACAAAAUGUUAGCAUUUGGUGAAUCCAGGUAAAGGGCAAAUGGGUGCCUUUAUAAUACUCUCAUAACUUUCUUGUAGGUUUGAAAUUUUUUAUAAUGAGGACUGGUGGGAGUAGGGGAAACCUACAGCAUUUCUAUUCAGAGAUGUGAAUCAUGAUUAACUGAUUUAUAUGCUGAGUGAAAUAAGUCAAUCGGAGAAGGACAAACAUUAUAUGGUCUCAUUCAUUUGGGGAAUAUAAAGAAUAGUGAAAGGGA